GCCAGUGUCGUCUAGUGGUUAGGACGCGAGCUUCACACGCUCGAGAUCGAGGGUUCGAUCCCCUCCUCUGAUA
rfam:Phytophthora infestans T30-4 supercont1.37 genomic scaffold, whole genome shotgun sequence.